rnacentral:lncRNA from 1 species
UUUUUUUUUUUUUUUUUCUUAUUUCUAAUAGUAAGACUCCAUGAGCUACAUUUUGACCUUGCAGGGGAGAAAAUAUGAAGCCGUAGUAGCAACUGAUGUAUGGGAAAAAUCUGGAUAUUAAUAUACACAGCAAUCCCAAUGAGGCUAGAGCAACACAAAGAGAUUGAUGUUUUUUCUCAGGUCACAGUUUUGCCUCUGGCAGUAUUAGCAUGAAUGCCAUUUAGUCAUCAGUGUGAUUUUGUUUAUAAAGGCAGAUGUAUUCCUACCUUCUGUAUUAUAUUUUUUUUCCCCUUCAGCUUAGAACUUGAGGGCUGAUAAUUUUAGUGAGGCUGCUGGCAGUUGUUCCUUUUGCAAGGGUGAUCAGGAAAUGAAGAACAUUUGAUUCUCACAAUAAUUAAAUAGGAUGGCUCACAACGGAAGAUUAGCUUGGCCUUUCUGGACUUUCAUACUCAGCAUCACAGAAACACUGCACAAUCAUUCAUGAUUUUCUGUCUGCUUUCCAUUUUCCUUAUUGUCACGAAUCAAGUGAGAAUGCCCUGCAUUCAUAAUUUUUAAGUAUACUUCAAAUAAUAUAUUUAAGCAAAUGGUUGGGCAGUCAGCACCUCCCACAGGUAUGAAAUUACCUCUAGCUUCCAAGGGGGAGAAAGUUUAAUAAUUUCACUUCUUCCAUGAUUUGUAUUUAUUGAAGUAGUUAACAUUUGUCUUCUCAUGGAAAUUGCUGACUUUUUAAAGUCUCUGGCUUUAAAAAAUGACAAAAAGAACAGAACCAAUGAAGGCUCCAAAGUAUGUUCUGCUGACAGAAAAAAAAUGGUGUAAAAGUAUUUUAAAUCACUUUUCAAUAAAUGCAAAAUAAAGGCCAAAUUUUAUUGUGCUAGGACAUAAAUGGCAGUUGAAGCAAGCCAAGACAUCAACUGUAAUGACAUUUCCACUGCAGCUGGCCCAUCAUCACAAAUGGUUUUAGUGGGUUGUGUUUCCAGCUUUGGAGCUCAGAAUUCACCCAAAGUGAUGCUGCCUGUGAAUGUGUUAAGGAAACAGUGUUGAUGUUCCAGUGAUCACCCUCUGGAAAGGCUUCCCAUGAUCCAUCUUUGCAAGGGCUUGGUCCUUCCUAGGCAGCUUCUGGAUCCUCCUCACCCUUGGAGCGUGCACACCACUUCCAGGUUAAUUUUGCAGCCUCUGUGAUGCAUUUUUCUUUCCCAUACACACAAUCUUACAAUUUCCCAGUCACACAAUUAUACCUGCUACACAGGUAGCAGAAGCCUGGAUUCCCCUUGCAGCCUCUUCAAGUGCUGCUGUGGCAGGAGCAGGAUGCAGCCCUGGCAGAUGGGUUGCAGCAGUGAGUCAAAGCUGUUGCAUAAGCUGCAAUGGGGUAAACUUGGACUACCAGGAACAUUCCCAAAUCAGAAGUCUUCCUCUCCCCACCUCACCCCCCAACACCUCAAAAAUCCCAGGCAGAAAAGAUCCGAAGAUUGCACUUACGUUGGAUUGGUUUUGAUGUUUUGAGAUGAACAGAGUUUGCAGUUCCAAAAUGAUGAUCUGUAAUCUCCAGGGCUAGGAAUGCAAUUAAAAGGAAAGAUGUGUUUGUAUGUGUGGGUGGGUGUGCAAUAUUCUCAGGCUUGUGGCCUUGAGAGGAAACAGUAAAUAGCAUAUGAAACUCCAUAAAACGGUAAGCGUUGGCAGCUUUGUUCCUCCAGGAUUAUGCACCAGCCUAAAGAAAUAAAACUUUGUUACCUAAUAGGAUAGACAGAAUCUUGGCAAAGAUGAAACUGGCAGGUACUACGCAUGAGCAGAGCAUGGUGAACCUCAUGUUUGGUACAAUUAAAGCCUUUUUACAGGAAAUUUUGUGAUAAGACAUUUUAAGCUGGGAAUUCUCUUUGUUUCUUGCAGAGAUUGUAAAAAAACUGAGGCUUUUUUUCCAAAACCAGUAAACUUUUCUUCAAUUAGACAAACUCUGCCCUCUUACCCUUCCCAAAAGGUAGUAGAUAAAUUGGAGUUGGAUAUAUAAAUCUAUUUUACUCAGGAACCAGAUACACCAAUAAAUCAAUCCUUUCUUGCUACGUAUGCAAUAUCUAAAUGGCACAUUCACAGAUGCCAAAUAAGUUUCCCUAACUAAGGAAACUGCUCAACACACUUCAGAUCUUUAUAGCAACGCCUAAAGUACCACCCUAAUAGCAUCAGUGGAGUAGAAACUGUUUAGCAGAAUAGCACAGAUUUUAUAUAGGGUCUUCCUUAGGUUGAUAUUUUUAGUCUUCAGAUUUCAUUUAUUCUUGCUGAAUUAGUAGAGCCUUUCAGAAUAUGUGUUUUAUUUCAAAUCUGCAAUCUUGACAGCAGGUUUUCAGCUAGUUCUCUGUCCUAUGGCAAACCUUACCUGUUCCUUUCAUAUAACAAAUACAGAGGGAAGAUAAAGCAUACAGGAUUUGGCCACACUCUCAGAAAUUCAUGAAACAUGGCAUUUCUUGCUGUGAGAAAAACAGCUAAAUGAUUGCUGCUUUAUCUUGUAAAACAAAUGUAUCCUGUCCAACAGAGAUGAUAAUUCUCACUGACCUGAAUGCUUAUAGAUUUUACCCCUAAAUAUCUGACUUUCAGAAGAGCUCAGAUCCUACUUCAGCAUUUAAAUGAAACUCUCAUGGCUUCCAGCUGCUCUUUCCAAGGAUUAGAUGCCCAAAUGAAUCUACCACUCACACAUACCUUGGUGUCUAAAUCAGGAUAUCUAGGUGCUGGGCUCAUUCAAAGAUUAAGAUCUUUGAACAAAUAAUGCUAAGUUACACUUAGCUGCUGAAAAACCUAGUGCUAACUACAACAUGGAGUGGCAGCUUUUUAAUGCUGCCAUUUUACAAAGUAAGUAUCUACAGUUAGUCCCCUAAAUUCUUAUUUGGAUACCCUCCUUUAAAUCACAUGCAUAUAGUUGCAGAUGGAGAUACCACACUCAUACAUACCCAUUUUAGAUUAACAUGGCAUAAAAGCCAGCAUAGCUAAUACCAGCUAUCACUAAGUAAUAAGCUAUUUCUACUAAAUUGCUGCAAAACUGCUGCAUUGAGAGGUGAAUAUGAGCACUGAGAGAUAGUGCACUGAUUCUUUUGUGCUAUUAAGUGAAUGAUAAAAAAAUUAGUUGAAAAACCAAAUCCUGGUGCACCAAGUUUUUGGUGUGAAAACUCUCCUUUUAUGGAAAUGACAAGAUCUUGAGCAGUAAAGGCACAGCUGGUGCUCACAUCUGGGCUAGGAAAAAAAGGGCCAGUGAUGACGAGUUGCAGCAAAAACAGAGGGUCUUCCAAGGGAAAAAAGUGGAAUAUUUAGUGUUGUGGAAAGGCUCUUGUAUGUAUAACUGGGACUCUUCACUGAAGAAGAUGAGUAGAAGAUGAGGGGACUUUAGGAUCAUACACAGAAGUUCUCUGAUUCUGUAAGCAUUGAGGACAGGGAUAUAAAUCUUUUAUCAUGAGACCCCCCCUUAGCUCAAAUUUAGAGAUUUUUAUGAGACUCCAUGCUCUUGUGUAACUUUCUGUGAGGAUUUUUUGCCUAAAGGGGCCUAUUUUGGUCAGUGUUGAGGACACGGUGUCUGACUGCAUGGACUGCUGCUCCCAGCCACGCUGGCAGCUUGUGUGGUCACUCUGUGGCCCUGACUGUCAAAUAAUCAAGUAGGUACUCGUUGUGAGAGCUUUUCAGCUUAGCACUCCACUUCUGCUUCUGAAAAGAGCUGAGCUCCAGGUCAGCACUGAAAAAUCUGAAGUAGAUGACAGUCAGUGAGGAAGAGUGAAAAGAAAGAGAAAACUGCUAUUUAUUAUCACCUAAUAACUUGGCUCAUUUUUUGGGGUAUGUCUAAAGACCUAUUUGGAUCUUUUAUGAUGGGACAUGUGCUUAACUUCAAGAAGGAGACAAUUACACUGUGAGAAAACUCAGCAGAGCAUAUAUGUUUAAUAUGAUCUGCAUAAUAACAUAAAUCUAGCGUCUAUGUGAAGAUGAUUUCAGCUGUCUCAUACAGAAAGGCAGCUGGAUUUUUGGAUGAGGCCACCCACUGCCAGGAGAAAAAUGCUUGAAUCUUCAAUACCUUUGAUUCACGGGCUUUAGGAGGUGAGAAUCAUACUGUCACAGCAUGUGCCUGGGAAGCAUGUUAAAUUUCCUACGCCUUGUCCUCUCCCCUUCUCUCACAGUCUGCUUCUAAAUUGAACUCUCUGCUUAUGAAACUUUAACUUUCUGAUACCUCUACAUGAAUCCUGUUUUCCAUUUUGACAGAAAUUUUACUGAAGGAUAAAAAAAAGGGGUUCCCCCCCCACCCUUGUCUCUGCAGCACUGACAGUUUUGUGCUUGUCCUUUCUUGAAACAUCUAAGUUAAUUUUAUAGUUAUUGAGGAGCACGGUGGAAAUGCAGCUUUACAACCUUUAACAACAACACAACACCCUCCUGUCUGUAAUCUCCACCUCCUGUACCUAUUCUUGCAAACCACCUGGAGCAAUGUUUCUGCCUCAUAAAUCUGAGCCUUUAAGAAGGGCAGCAUUGCAUGCACUGCUCUAGCUGAAGUAGUCUAUCUGGCUGAUUUUUCUGCUAAUGCCUUUUUGAUGCGUUGCUGGUAAAUAGCUUUAUUUGUAAGAGAUUACGGUCGCGGCAAAAAAUCCCAAUAGUGACAAAAAAUAACUGUUAUGGGCAAUGCUGGAUUUUCCACUCAUUUGUGGUUUACCUUUAGCCUCCAGUUAAGCUUGUUGCCAAUUAUUUUUUUUUUGUGCCUGCUAUACACAGACCACAGAGGGUUUUGUUCUUCCUUUGUCUAAAGUCCCAUACCAUCAAUUAGAACAGGAAGACAGGUUCCUCUGUGGUAUUUGAAUCCGAGCAAACCUAAAACAAGCAAUGUUUUGCUAAUCUUUACAUGCACCUGCAGAGGAACAGAGGCUGCACCUGGGUGGAAAAAAAAGUUACCAGUAGCUUUUAAUGUGCAAAGCUCUUGAAUGUAGCAAUUACACAAGGCAAAUUGUGAGGGGGUGUGGUUUAUUGGUGACUGCUUUUAUUGUACCUUAUCAUAUGCAGAAAGUGACUCAUCUGAUACAGAAAUGGCUCUUUAGGGAUCAACAUAUGCACCUGAGCCUAGAACUACAUUUAAAAGGUAUGAAAGAGAUCUCUUACAACAUAGCUAGAUGAAUAAUAUUGCAAAUCCAUGGGGUUUUGACAGGUAAUUAAUCAAAAAUUAUCCAUAUUUAGAUACUUAGGUGCUAGGCAUUAAGAAAGAAAUCUGCCUUUUCUGUAUGGUAACUCUGAGAGCUGCACAUUUUUAACACAUCUAAAAAUCAGGCUGCUGAUGUUGAUGCCUAUGUUUUUUCCAGAGUCUGUGUAGUUGGAUGAGCUGUAGCAUAAUGGUGGAAGCCCUUUCCCUUUAGAGAAGGAACCAGUGAUUGUGUAGUGGCAGCAGCCGGGUCUAUGCUGGCAUGUGGACCCACAUGGUCACAUCGGCAUGGCAAAAUAUCUGUCAGAGCCUUUGGGAAGUCCUGAUCCAGCUGAAGACUGGGCGCCUAGCUGUGUCCCUGGGUGUUUAGUGCACUGCUUCAGAGUUUUCUGGCACAGAGCAGCUUGCUUUU